rnacentral:rRNA from 1 species
GAUGAACGCUAGCGGCAGGCCUAAUACAUGCAAGUCGGACGGGAUUCAGGAGCUUGCUUCUGAUGAGAGUGGCGCACGGGUGCGUAACACGUAUGUAACCUACCUUUAUCAGGGGGAUAGCCUCUCGAAAGAGAGAUUAAGCCCGCAUAAAAUCACAGCACAGCAUUGUGUAAUGAUCAAAUAUUUAUAGGAUAAAGAUGGGCAUGCGGAACAUUAGCUAGAUGGCGGGGUAACGGCCCACCAUGGCGACGAUGUUUAGGGGAUCUGAGAGGAUGGCCCCCCACACUGGUACUGAGACACGGACCAGACUCCUACGGGAGGCAGCAGUAAGGAAUAUUGGUCAAUGGGCGGAAGCCUGAACCAGCCAUGCCGCGUGCAGGAAGACGGCCCUACGGGUUGUAAACUGCUUUUAUACGGGAUUAAACCCAGAUACGUGUAUCUGGCUGAAUGUACUGUAAGAAUAAGGAUCGGCUAACUCCGUG